GUGCCAGUGAGGAAAUCAGAAUUAAAAUACACCAUCUUUCGGGACUGAAUGGCUUUUUAAGCCACUUGUUGACUAAUUCUGCAAUUCUGAGGCCA
rnacentral:snoRNA from 1 species